CCAAGGUGGAAACGUUAAUAAAAAACGGCGCGAGACCGAGGCGUCACAUUCAUUUGCAUAUUUAGCUUGCAAGCCACUCUCCGGCAGUGCCUGGAGAAGUUUGUUGCACCAUUGACCUAUAAAGAAGAAGCUGGAUCCUUUUCCCCGAGCGGAUCGGACGUUAAAUUUCAAUUCCUCCGGUACGAGAACGAAUAGUAUAGCAGGGAAGAGUCGCGUUCCAUAAAUUAAUUACCGGUGGAAUCGUCGAUCACAGGAGAUCCGGGUAGUAUAUUACGGUAUGCGUGGACUAAUCACAGGUGUGAGUAUCGGCGUAACGUUUAGCGACGGAAAAACGUUGAGGCGAUAAGAUCGCUGGAGCGAGAGAAAGCCCUGGAACGAGCAGGACGCCGAAAUGUUAUGAGAACCGAACCGCG